AUUGAACGCUGGCGGCAUGCCUUACACAUGCAAGUCGAACGGUAACAGGUCUUCGGAUGCUGACGAGUGGCGAACGGGUGAGUAAUACAUCGGAACGUGCCCAGACGUUGGGGAUAACGUGACGAAAGCUUUGCUAAUACCGCAUACGAUCUAAGGAUGAAAGCCGGGGACCGCAAGGCCUUGCGCGUUUGGAGCGGCCGAUGGCAGAUUAGGUAGUUGGUGGGAUAAAAGCUUACCAAGCCGACGAUCUGUAGCUGGUCUGAGAGGACGACAAGCCACACGGGGACUGAGACACGGCCCAGACUCCUACGGGAGGCAGCAGUGGGGAAUUUUGGACAAUGGGCGAAAGCCUGAUCCAGCAAUGCCGCGUGCAGGAUGAAGGCCUUCGGGUUGUAAACUGCUUUUGUACGGAACGAAAAGGCUCUGGCUAAUACCUGGGGCACAUGACGGUACCGUAAGAAUAAGCACCGGCUAACUACGUG
rnacentral:rRNA from 1 species